rnacentral:lncRNA from 1 species
AGACGGCCAUCUUUGGAUCAGCCAUAUGGAUGAUUAACGGGUUUAAGAGUGGAAAGGAAGGAGUUUUUGAACAUACGCUGUGUUUUAGACUAAAUAUUUUCCUGUAGUAGAUCUACUGGAUGUUUGGGAGUAAGAGACGACACAAAAUUUGCAGCUGAAUGUUUGCUUGUCUGGAGGACGAGCUGCCUGACAACACGACACCAGCAGCCGCUCCGUCUCCGAGUGUUUGCUCUUCCUGAUCCUCUAACCGCCGAGGCUCCGGUGACUUCUGGGUACAUACGGCCAGACGGAGACUCGGAUCCUCGUGGAGCUCUGCAAACAGCCAACACUGACGAGAUGAAGCACCUCAGAGGGGAAUCACCCAACCAAUCUCUGUAGCUAUACUGGAUACUAUACUGUUACCUGAACCACCAGGACUCAGCUCUGUCUUUAAUAUACCACAGCAGUGUUUGUUAUCACUGUAAUAAUUAGAAAUGGACGAGAGGGAUUAUACUUAACUGUGAAUUAAAGGUGUAAUUUGCAGAAUAUGCUCCAAAAACAUACAGUUACUGACAACUGAUUACCUUUGCUAACUAUCUACUUUUAGCUAAUUAGCUAAUAGCUCGUUUAGCAUCUAAGCCAAUGGCCCAAGAGUUCGUCUGGGUCAGAACUUUGUCACUACCACCUCAGGUCAACUGGGUUUGGCUGCAAACUCCGACCUCCGAAGUCCGACGGAGGUCCGUUUGACAACAGGGGAUAAACUACAGAGGUGAUUUACAGCAGGUGUGACCAGGACUAUUCCUUCAGGGAGGACAAAACAUCAGCAUCAGUUUAAAUAAAACGUGUUUUUUGAUGA